rnacentral:rRNA from 1 species
AUGUGUGACACGAACUGCCCAAUUAUGAGCUGGAAUGUGCAGGGUUUGAACUCGCCGGCGCGGCGGGAAGUAGUUUCAGAAACGGCCGAGGCGCAUCGGCUAGCCGUUCUCUGCCUCCAAGAAACGAAGAUCGACGUUUGAACCAGAACACUAGCUAGGGAAACGGGAGGAUCGCGGCUUGACGACUGCGUCGUCCUCCCUGCCGUGGGCACGCGGGGCGGCAUCGCCAUCUUCUGGGACCAGAGUCGAGUUGAUGUGGUCUCGCACGCCGUGGGCUGCUUCUCCAUCACAGCCAGGAUCACCAUCACCGCCAUUGCUGCCACAUUCUGGUUGACGACAGUUUACGGCCCGGUCAACGACGGUAGAAAAGACGAGUUCCUGGCAGAACUUGCACGGGCGGCUCCCCCCUCCGACACCCCGUGGCUAAUCAACAGGGACUUCAACUUGAUCUACGAAGCGCGUGACAAAAACAACACCAACAUAAACCGCAGGAUCAUGGGAAAAUUUCGAGCGGCGAUCGACGAGGCAGGCCUCAAGGAGAUUAAGUGU